rnacentral:rRNA from 1 species
GAUGAACGCUGGCGGCGUGCCUAAUACAUGCAAGUCGAGCGAACGGACGAGAAGCUUGCUUCUCUGAUGUUAGCGGCGGACGGGUGAGUAACACGUGGAUAACCUACCUAUAAGACUGGGAUAACUUCGGGAAACCGGAGCUAAUACCGGAUAAUAUUUUGAACCGCAUGGUUCAAAAGUAAAAGACGGUCUUGCUGUCACUUAUAGAUGGUUCCGCGCUGCAUUAGCUAGUUGGUAAGGUAACGGCUUACCAAGGCAACGAUGCAUAGCCGACCUGAGAGGGUGAUCGGCCACACUGGAACUGAGACACGGUCCAGACUCCUACGGGAGGCAGCAGUAGGGAAUCUUCCGCAAUGGGCGAAAGCCUGACGGAGCAACGCCGCGUGAGUGAUGAAGGUCUUCGGAUCGUAAAACUCUGUUAUUAGGGAAGAACAUAUGUGUAAGUAACUGUGCACAUCUUGACGGUACCUAAUCAGAAAGCCACGGCUAACUACGUG